rnacentral:rRNA from 1 species
CCUACGGGGGGCUGCAGUGGGGAAUAUUGGACAAUGGGGGGAACCCUGAUCCAGCCAUGCCGCGUGUGUGAAGAAGGCCCUCGGGUUGUAAAGCACUUUCAGUGAGGAAGAACGCCUGGUGGUUAAUACCCAUCAGGAAAGACAUCACUCACAGAAGAAGCACCGGCUAACUCCGUGCCAGCAGCCGCGGUAAUACGGAGGGUGCGAGCGUUAAUCGGAAUUACUGGGCGUAAAGCGCGCGUAGGUGGCUUGAUAAGCCGGUUGUGAAAGCCCCGGGCUCAACCUGGGAACGGCAUCCGGAACUGUCAAGCUAGAGUGCAGGAGAGGAAGGUAGAAUUCCCGGUGUAGCGGUGAAAUGCGUAGAGAUCGGGAGGAAUACCAGUGGCGAAGGCGGCCUUCUGGACUGACACUGACACUGAGGUGCGAAAGCGUGGGUAGCAAACAGGAUUAGAUACCUAGUAGUC